GGGCAGACGCGAAACCAAGUGAUCUACCCUUUGGGCAGGUUGAAGGACAGGUAACACUGUCUGGAGGACCGAACCGGUAAGCGUUGAAAAGCUUUCGGAUGACCUGAGGGUAGGAGUGAAAGGCCAAUCAAACUUGGAGAUAGCUCGUACUCCCCGAAAUGCAUUUAGGUGCAGCCUCGGGCUCAGUACCGUGGAGGUAGAGCGACUGAUAGGAUGCGAGGGCUUCACCGCCUAUCAAGUCCUGACAAACUCCGAAUGCCACGGCACGAUACCCGGGAGUGAGGGCGUGGGUGCUAAGGUCCACGUCCGAAAGAGGAACAACUCAGACCAUCGGCUAAGGCCCCCAAAUACGGGCUAAGUUGAAGACAAUAACGAGGUGGAAUUGCAUAGACAGCUAGGAUGUUGGCUUGGAAGCAGCCAUUCAUUUAAAGAGUGCGUAACAGCUCACUAGUCGAGUGAUUCCGCGUGGAUAAUAAUCGGGCAUAAGUCCGUUGCCGAAGCCAUGGAAUCAGCCUUAAGGCUGAUUGGUAGGGGAGCAUUCCGGUAGCCGUCGAAGGUUUGUCGCAAGACAGGCUGGAGGUCCCGGAAAAGCAAAUGUAGGGAUAAGUAACGAUAAGGAGGGCGAGAAACCCUCCCGCCGUAAGACCAAGGGUUCCUGAUCAACGCUAAUCGGAUCAGGGUAAGUCGGGACCUAAGGCACAGCCGUAAGGCGCAGCCGAUGGACAAACGGUAAAAAUUCCGUUACCCGACGGCAGAGCGAUGUGGCGACGGAGAAGUGACACUCACGCGCACUGACGGAAUAGUGCGUUGAACUCCGUAGGUAUACCAUGGGGAGGCAAAUCCCUCCGUGGUGCUGAAAGAGGACAGUACGGAGCGUCCCCCGGGACAAUCCGACAGCUGAGGUAAUCAAGCUCCCAAGAAAACCCGCUAAGCAUAUCUGCCGCCGGCCCGUACCGUAAACGGACACACGUGGUCGGGUAGAACAUACCAAGGCGCUCGAGAGAUUCACGGUUAAGGAACUAGGCAAAUUGACCCCGUAACUUCGGGAAAAGGGGUCCCCUCCUCCGGGAGGGGCGCAGAGAAUAGGUCCAGGCAACUGUUUAACAAAAACACAGGGCUGUGCGAAAUUGAAAGACCAAGCAUACAGCCUGACACCUGCCCGGUGCCGGAAGGUUAAGAGGAGAAGUCAUCGCAAGAGAAGCUUUGAAUUGAAGCCCCGGUAAACGGCGGCCGUAACUAUAACGGUCCUAAGGUAGCGAAAUUCCUUGUCGGGUAAGUUCCGACCUGCACGAAUGGUGUAAUGAUCCGGACACUGUCUCAACCGUGAGCUCGGUGAAAUUGUAGUAUCGGUGAAGAUGCCGAUUACCCGCAACGGGACGGAAAGACCCCGUGAACCUUUACUGCAGCUUAGCAUUGGGACCGGGUGCGCGAUGUGUAGGAUAGUCAGGAGGCUGUGAGACGGUGACGCCAGUCAUCGUGGAGCCGUUGUUGAAAUACUGACCUUUGCGCAUUUGGUUUCUAACUCGCGAUGCGAGGACAUUGCUUGGUGGGUAGUUUGACUGGGGUGGUCGCCUCCAAAAGCGUAACGGAGGCUUCUAAAGGUGCGCUCAGGCCGAUUGGUAACCGGCCGCAGAGUGUAAUGGCACAAGCGCGCUUGACUGGGAGACCGACAAGUCGACCAGGUAGGAAACUAGAGCAUAGUGAUCCGGUGGUUCCGCAUGGAAGGGCCAUCGCUCAAAGGAUAAAAGGUACUCCGGGGAUAACAGGCUGAUCCCUCCCAAGAGCUCAUAUCGACGGAGUGGUUUGGCACCUCGAUGUCGGCUCGUCACAUCCCGGGGCUGGAGAAGGUCCCAAGGGUUAGGCUGUUCGCCUAUUAAAGUGGCACGCGAGCUGGGUUCAGAACGUCGUGAGACAGUUCGGUCCCUAUCUGUUGUGGGCGCAGGAGAUUUGCGAGGCCCCGACACUAGUACGAGAGGACCGUGUUGGACAGACCUCCGGUGUGCCGGUUGUUCCGCCAGGAGCACCGCCGGGUAGCCGCGUCUGGUAAGGAUAAGUGCUGAAAGCAUCUAAGCACGAAGCCCCCCUCAAGAUAAGAUUUCCAUAUAAGGGUCGUCAGAGACGAUGACGUCGAUAGGUCGCAGGUGCAGGGACGGUAACGUCUACAGCCGAGCGAUACUAAUCACCCAAACCCUUUCCGGG
rnacentral:rRNA from 1 species